AACAGUUUGCGCUGUCGUAAACUAAAGUGACAUACUUGUGAAAUGUUCUAGUGAUUGUUUUGUUAAUUGUGCCAUCUUUUAAUUGGUAAUCAUGGCUUACCCCAUGUACGAAGUCGAUUGGAGUGUUCUACCUCCAGAACAAAACAGAAGGUUUAACCCAGCGUUCAAUAUUGCCACCAUAAAGCAAGUGGUAAAUGAGGCCAUAGAGAGAGUCGCGCCGGUUUCAGUGCGGAUGCAGACGCCGACCCGCCUCCGGGAUCUGAUCCGCCAAAUCCGCGCCGCGAGGACCGCGGCCGAGGAAAGGAGUGUCGUGAACAAGGAGUGCGCGUACAUUAGGUCGACAUUCAGAGAGGAGGAUAGCGUUUGGAGAUGUCGGAACAUCGCGAAACUCCUAUACAUCCACAUGCUGGGAUAUCCCGCGCACUUCGGUCAGCUAGAGUGCCUAAAGCUGAUCGCGAGUCCACGGUUCACCGACAAGCGGGUGGGGUAUUUGGGAGCUAUGCUGCUUCUGGAUGAGCGUCAAGACGUACACCUCCUCAUCACCAACUGUUUAAAAAAUGACCUUAACAGCAAUACACAGUUUGUGGUAGGGCUGGCGCUAUGUACGCUGGGGGCCAUCGCAUCGCCGGAAAUGGCGCGCGACCUCGCCUCGGAGGUGGAGCGAUUGAUCAAGUCCCCAAACGCGUACAUCAAGAAGAAAGCGGCAUUAUGUGCCUUCAGGAUCAUAAGACGGGUGCCCGAUCUGAUGGAGAUGUUCCUGCCCGCUACCAGGAGUUUGCUGACGGAGAAGAAUCACGGGGUCCUUAUCACCGGGGUGACACUCAUAACGGAGAUGUGCGAAAACAGUCCGGACACACUCAACCACUUCAAGAAGGAGAGCGGACAGCGCGAGAUUGUGCCGAAUCUGGUGAGAAUAUUGAAGAACUUAAUUUUGGCGGGUUACUCGCCGGAACAUGACGUCAGCGGCGUUUCUGAUCCAUUCCUUCAGGUUAAAAUUCUCCGUCUCCUGCGAAUACUCGGCAAGAACGAUGCCGAGGCGUCCGAGGCGAUGAACGACAUUCUCGCACAAGUUGCAACUAAUACUGAGACAAGCAAGAAUGUAGGCAACACAAUUCUUUACGAGACAGUACUAUCCAUUAUGGAUAUAAAAUCGGAGAGCAGCCUUCGAGUACUAGCUAUCAACAUCCUGGGAAGAUUUUUGCUUAAUAACGACAAGAAUAUACGAUAUGUGGCCUUGAACACACUUUUAAGGACGGUGCAUGUGGAUACGUCGGCCGUGCAAAGACAUAGGACCACUAUAUUGGAGUGUUUGAAGGACCCAGAUGUGUCAAUACGUCGUCGAGCAAUGGAACUAUCAUUCGCCCUCAUCAACGGACAGAACAUCCGAGCCAUGAUGAAGGAAUUGCUCUCGUUCUUGGAGCGCUCUGACGCGGAGUUCAAGGCUCAUUGCUCAAGUGCCAUGGUGCUGGCUGCGGAGCGGUAUGCGCCCUCCAGCAAGUGGCAUCUGGACACAUUGUUCCAGGUUCUGUUAAAGGCGGGCAACUAUCUGCGAGACGACACCGUGUCCAACACUAUUCAGAUAGUUUCGGCGGCACCUGGAGAGCGGCAGGCGUACGCUUCUAUGCGACUGUGGACUUCUCUAGAACGUUCUGCUUUGUCCGCCGAUGCCACUGAGAAGCAGCCACUUAUACAGGUGGCUGCGUGGACUAUCGGCGAGUACGGAGACAUGUUGGUGUCGGAGGCAAGCAACGCGAUAUCCAUGGUCGACGACGACGGUGUCGACGACUUCACCCGUCCAACCGAAGAAUAUGUAAUAGACAUAUACCAGAAGUUAUUAUGGUCCACACAGUUAUCGAUUACUACAAAGGAGUAUUUACUGCUUUCGCUGGCCAAGCUGUCCACACGUUUUACCACACGUGGCGGUCAAGACAAAAUUCGCGUUAUAAUUGAUACAUUCGGCUCGCAUAUCCAUAUUGAACUUCAACAGAGAGGCGUAGAACUUUCUCAACUUUAUAAACAAUACGCACACCUACGGCCGGCGUUGUUGGAGCGGAUGCCGCCAAUGGAAGCCAGCACCGCCACGGAGCGGGAGCGAGACGACAGCGACACUGAGACUGAACAGCCGCUGACCAACAUACAAACGGAACAGAACCCGCUUCUAGAUUUGAUCAACGGCUCAGAACUGCUCGCCAACGGUGAUGUGGAACACACUCCUAUAGCACCAACCAACAACAAUUCCAACACUAAUGACAUCCUGGACCUCUUAAGCGGCCUGGAUCUCAGCACGCCAAGUAUGCCAGCGCCCAGCGUGGCCGUGAGCGUUGCCAACAAUAACCUCACGUCGCCAUCCUUGCUGCUUGAUGGAUUGUUCGCGUCCGAGCCGCCGGUCACACAGCCUCAAGCGGAGUGCGUGGUCCGUGCUCUAGAGCGCAACGGCGUGCUCGUGGAGCUGUGCGCAGUGCGAGGCGGAGACACAGCGACGCUAACGAUGCGGGCGCGCUCGCACGCCGCGAGCACCAUCAGCGACUUCCUGUUCCAGGCAGCCGUGCCGCGGACGUUCCGACUGGACAUGAUGUCGCCUUCGGGAACUGUGCUGACACCGCAAGGAGAAAUCACACAAGUUCUCAAAAUCACUAAUCCAUCCAAGACACCUCUUCGCCUCCGGAUAAGAGUGUCCUACAGUAUCGACGGCAACCCCAUCCUGGAGCAGGCGGAGGUUAACAGCUUUCCGCCGGAUCUGUUCAACUGACGCGCGCCCCACCAUCAUCACCACCAGCUCGGCUGUACAGAACUAUGAUAGAAACUUUAUGAUAAAAGAGCGUCAACGUUGCUGCACACAAUCGUCGUGCCGACUUGAAAUGCAUGCGGCACACAGGCGAAUCAAUAAGCGUAAAAUGACGACCACGCAUCUACGAAGCUUCGUGGAUUUCCGGUUUUUUUUUUUUUUUUUAAUAAAGGGAGUAUUUAGCUGUAAUGGGUAGAAAUGGCAGUUCUAUAAAAGAGAUUAUUUUUUGGUAUAUUCGCUUUUCAAUAUAUUUCUAUAUUUUCGGAGAGAAUAUAAGAUCUUUUCGAGCUUUAAUAAAACCGAAUGACUGAUAUGAGGUGACACUCAAUCCGAUAUAGCUAAAUUAAACCUUACAGUAUUUUUCACAAAUGGACCAUCGUUAGUUGUGCCAGCAAACAUUCAUUAUUUCUUUUUUAUAAAUUUUCUAUUUGGGUACCUACGGGAUUUGAUUUCCAAGUGUAGGUAAACACUA